CAGCCGCCGCGGUAAUACGUAGGUGGCAGGCGUUGUCCGGAAUUAUUGGGCGUAAAGGGCUCGCAGGCGGUUUCUUAAGUCUGAUGUGAAAGCCCCCGGCUCAACCGGGGAGGGUCAUUGGAAACUGGGAAACUUGAGUGCAGAAGAGGAGUGUGGAAUUCCACGUGUAGCGGUGAAAUGCGUAGAGAUGUGGAGGAACACCAGUGGCGAAGGCGACUCUCUGGUCUGUAACUGACGCUGAGGAGCGAAAGCGUGGGGAGCAAACAGGAUUAGAUACCCCCGUAGUCCCUGUCUCUUAUAC
rnacentral:rRNA from 1 species